rnacentral:lncRNA from 1 species
CACAGACUGUGGUAUUUUGCAGAAUUCGAAGUCCUCGGUGACAAGGUGUUCCAUAAUGAGUGAGUUCCAUAUGAAUGGGUUCUGCAGGAGAGGUGAAGUUCCUUGGAGAAGAUUAGAUUCUGUGGACACUAGCUUUGCCUGAGUGAUGGCAGAAGGAUGGAGACAUCCAGUCCUCACUCUGGUUUUACAACCCAUGAAGACUCAUUUUGAAGAAGAAUCCAGAUUUAAAAAAGGUGUCACAGGACAGGAAGGCAGAAACAGAGACCAUAUGAACCUAUCUUCUGGUAUCUCUGCACUGGUGGAAAGGAAGGGAACUAGGGUUGGCUUCAUACUUCUUGGUGUCAGUGGGAUGACAGCAUCCUCAGACUGAGUGGCAUGGCAUUUUGGGGAAAGAAUGUAGGUUUGGAGAGGUGGGUGGACAGACAGCAGGGCUGUGUGUUCUAAGGCAGCUGGUGGGGAAAAGAAUACCAGCUGGGACUUGAAACAAUCCAAGAACCAAGAAUGAGUGCUGAAAAGCAUGAGAACUGGCAAGUGUAGAGUGGGAACAUGUUGGAGAAACACAGGGACACAGAUGUACUGAGAGCUGUAAGACAAUGGGGUUGCCCAACUCCCUCACUCCUGACUCCAGAUCAGCUGAAGCAAAUGCACUCCUCUUUGGCUGAAAAUCUGCAGAGACCAUUAAAGUACAGUCUUGGUGGGAUGAAUUCACA